GACGAACGCUGGCGGCGUGCUUAACACAUGCAAGUCGAACGGAAAGGCCCUGCUUGCCGGGUACUCGAGUGGCGAACGGGUGAGUAACACGUGGGUGAUCUGCCCUUCACUUCGGGAUAAGCCUGGGAAACUGGGUCUAAUACCGGAUAGGAGCCAUUUUUAGUGUGAUGGUUGGAAAGUUUUUUCGGUGUAGGAUGAGCUCGCGGCCUAUCAGCUUGUUGGUGGGGUAAUGGCCUACCAAGGCGGCGACGGGUAGCCGGCCUGAGAGGGUGGACGGCCACAGUGGGACUGAGAUACGGCCCAGACUCCUACGGGAGGCAGCAGUGGGGAAUAUUGCACAAGGGGCGCAAGCCUGAUGCAGCGACGCCGCGGGGGGGAUGACGGCCUUCGGGUUGUAAACGCCUUUCGCUAGGGACGAAGCUUUUUGUGACGGUACCUAGAUAAGAAGCACCGGCUAACUACGUG
rnacentral:rRNA from 1 species